rnacentral:lncRNA from 1 species
AGAGAUGCGAGAGGCGCUGGCCUGAGCGCCUCCGGCCACCUCCUUCUACCUCCGGGCCCUAGGCGCCCGAUCCACCUGCCUAUCUGACCACAGACAUCUUCCCACAAAACAGUGGAGCUUUUUGAAUCUUUGAAGAGAGUCUUCAGAUCUUUUAUCUAAGCAUCUUUGUGAAGCAAAGAAUAAACGGGUAUCUGAGGCCAGCUCGAAAGUUAGGAAAUAAAAUCAGGGUCUUCUACCAGAACAGAGAGAUGAUGCUUUCUGUAAUUUAUUUUGUAUUCAUUCAGUGCACCAAAUUAUCUUAUUACUUGUUUUUUCAUGAGUCCCUUGGAUUUUCCAAGAAAACAGGCAUAUCAGCAAUAUCAAGAACUUUGUUUCUGGCUGGGCACAAUGGCUUAUGCCAGUAAUCCCAACACUUCGGAAGGCCAGCGUGAAAGGAACACUUGACCCCAGGAAUUUGAGACCAGCCUGGGCAACAUAAGGAGAUCUGUCUCUAUAAAAAAUAAGAAAUUAGCUGUGCGUGGUGGCACCAGCCUACAGUCCCAGCUACUCAGGAGGCCAAUGUGGGAAGAUCCCUUAGUCCAGGAGUUCAAGGCUGCAGUGAGCCUUGAUCACGCCACUGGCUCCACUCCGAGCAACAGAGUGAG